UAGAGUUUGUUCCUGGUUCAGGAUGAACGGUAGCUACAGGCUAACCCAUGCAAGUCGAGGGGCAUCAUGGAGUUUGCUUGCAAACUCUGGAUGGCGACCGGCGCACGGGUGAGUAACGCGUAUCCAACUUUCCCUAUAGUAGAGGAUAGCCCGGCGAAAGUCGGAUUAAUACUCUAUGUUUUCCGUUGCAGACAUCUAAGAUGGAACAAAGGCUUGCCGCUAUAGGAUGGGGAUGCGUCUGAUUAGGUAGUCGGCGGGGUAACGGCCCACCGAGCCAUCGAUCAGUAGGGGUUCUGAGAGGAAGGUCCCCCACAUUGGAACUGAGACACGGUCCAAACUCCUACGGGAGGCAGCAGUGAGGAAUAUUGGUCAAUGGGCGAGAGCCUGAACCAGCCAAGUAGCGUGCAGGACGACGGCCCUAUGGGUUGUAAACUGCUUUUAUGCGGGGAUAAAGUUCACUACGUGUAGUGUUUUGUAGGUACCGCAUGAAUAAGGACCGGCUAAUUCCGUGCCAGCAGCCGCGGUAAUACGGAAGGUCCGGGCGUUAUCCGGAUUUAUUGGGUUUAAAGGGAGCGCAGGCCGGAGGUCAAGCGUGACGUGAAAUGUAGCCGCUCAACGGCUGAACUGCGUCGCGAACUGGCUUUCUUGAGUGAGUUCGAUGUGGGCGGAAUUCGUGGUGUAGCGGUGAAAUGCUUAGAUAUCACGAAGAACUCCGAUUGCGAAGGCAGCCCACAAGGCCUUUACUGACGCUAAAGCUCGAAGGUGCGGGUAUCGAACAGGAUUAGAUACCCUGGUAGUCCGCACGGUAAACGAUGGA
rnacentral:rRNA from 1 species